rnacentral:rRNA from 1 species
UACAGAGGUCCCAAGCGUUGUUCGGAUUCACUGGGCGUAAAGGGUGCGUAGGUGGUUAGGUAAGUCUGAUGUGAAAUCUCUGGGCUCAACCCAGAAACUGCAUUGGAUACUAUCUAGCUAGAGGAGUGGAGGGGGGGACUGGAAUACUCGGUGUAGCAGUGAAAUGCGUAGAUAUCGAGAGGAACACCAGUGGCGAAGGCGAGUCCCUGGACAACACCUGACACUGGAGGCACGAAAGCUAGGGGAGCAAACAGG